rnacentral:lncRNA from 1 species
AUAAACCCAAACAAUUUGAUAAAGCUUUCUGGAUUCAUAAGGUAAGAUUUUAGUUGAGCAAUCAAGUGAAAACUAGCAAAACUUAGAACCAUAUUAUCCUCUGUAGGACUUGUGUACAGUCAUUUAGAGAACUGAAAAUAAGAAAAUAAAGUAGAGAAUCACAGCGAAAACUUUUUGGCAUAUUGAUUUAUCAAAACAAUCAACUGAUGAAGUCAAAUGCUCUUUAAUUGAGACAAUAAAAAUUUAAUCCUGCUCCCACCUUGUAGUUACUUUGCUUUGCAGCCUCUCAACAGAAUCAUGUACCAAAAAGAGAGAAUCAAUUUACAAACUUGCCUGAUUCUGAUUGUUAAAACCCCAAAAUCCAACAAAAAAGAUUAGCAAAAAACAAAGUAUAAGACGAAAUGACUGUAAAAUAGAUCUAAUAAUUAAAUUUUAUAAUAUCAAUUUUGGAAUUGAUAUUGUUGAUUGGGGGAAGCAUAUGAAUUUGAAUCAAGCAUAAAAUUGCCACAUCCAUCCACGUAUAACACUCAAAUUACAGAAACAGUAAAGAAAUUAGGCCCAAAUCCACCCUUCCUGAUUUUGUUUCACCCAAAACAGAGAGGAUUUUCUGGUUUAUGAUUUAUACCUACCCAAUUCGGCAAUUUCUUUUUCGGCAAUUUCAUCCAAAACAGAGAGGCCAUACCUUCGCCUUCAAGAGCAAUUCCCAAUUCGGCAAUUUCUUUUUCGAAAUUUUCACUAUCUGCACUGCUAAAUCCAUAAUCUUGCAAAUUAUCACCCCAAUGAAAAGAAAUAGGCAUAGCCUCUAGCACUUGUUCUUGGUUUUGGGCUUGAUUAGCAAUUUGCACCUUCUUGUCGCUUUCGGGCUUCAAUAUCUUCAGAAAUUAGAAAUUUGUUGUUGUUCGGACUUGCCAGAAAUUUGUUGUUCUGGAAUUUCUUCUUCCGGGUCUUCUUCUUGUAGCAUUUCUUCAUCUCGGUUUUCUUGUUUUGAGAUUUUUUCAUCUGGGUUUUCUUGUUUUGGGAUUUCUUCAACUGGGUUUUUUGGUUUUGGGAUUUCUUUUUCUUUUGAAGCAGAAUCAGCAAUAGAUUGUUCUUCUUCUUUGGGUAGUGUUUUAAAUUUCACUAUAGCGGCAGCGGCGGAAAGCUUCGAGAUUUGUGCCUAGGAAUAGAGUUUGGAGGAAGCUUUUUAGGGUUGGUUUUGCGAGAGCUUCCAUUGUUUUUUUAUGGCCAAAGCUGAGCUCCGGUGAUUAAAGAAGGAGAAGAAGAAGAGGGAAAAUCAGACGCAUGGAGUGAGAAAUGAGAGAGAGGAAUGUGGUUUGAGGAAGAUGAGAGUAUUUUGGACAUUUAUCUGUCUUUUUGGACUGUUAUAGUCCUUUCUCACGCGCUUUUGGCGUUUGACUUAC